GGCUUAAACACUAUUACCGGGCUAUUGUAUUGUAGACACAAACUCCACUGUCUUCUCUCUUCCCCACCGUCCGGCGAUUGAAUCCCCAGCACAGUUACACUAUCCAUGAAUUACCAGCGCUAGUCGAAGGAUAGCGCUUCCAUUGAAUUCCAACUAAGCUGAAGGUAUUUUCUUGUCUGCUCCAUCUCAGUUCUCGCUUCUUUCAUGUAGAAAAUUUCUGCAAAUUUAUCAACAAAAUUACGAACACUUUUGUUGCAAAUUACAAGCAUUAUGUACUGUAAUAUAUCAAAGAAUCAAGCUUUACCCAUGGCAUUCAGGGUUUCUUCACAACCCAAUCCACUUCACACCUCAAAGAUUCAGUCUUUCUCAAAUGGUGUUUAUCCAAAACCCUCCUUAAACCCUAAAUGUACUGUUUUUGCUGCCCCUCUUCGUGGGUACUCUCUUAGAGCUCAUAAAACGAUUCAAUUUCUCAAACCCACAAAAAAUUUGUUGACUUUUGGUAGAAUUUGUGUUGAAUUUGGAUUGCCUAAGUCUGAAUGUAGAGGAAUUAGAAGUUUAAGUAAUGCUGCUGAGGAUAGUGGAGUGGUUAGAGACAGGAACACUCUGCCUUGGUUAGCUGGUAGUAGAAGGGGGGAGUCGAUGAGGGCGGAGAGGCCGGCGAAAGUUGUGAAGGCGAAAGUUGCUAGUAAAUCAUCUUGGGAGGUUUCAGCAGAGAAGUUACUUCAGAAAAGCGGCAGCUCCUCGACUCAGGAUGAGAGGAGGAGGAGCAGGCCGGUUGAAGAGACAGAAAACUGGCAGAAGCCGCGUUUUGAAAGGAAUGAUAAUAGCUCCUCAACUCAGGAUGAAAGGAGGAGGAGUAGGCCGAUCGAAGAGACAGAAAAAUGGCAGAAGCCGCGUUUUGAAAGGAAUGCUAAUAGUUCCUUAACUCAGGAUGAAAGGAGGAGGAGGAGCAGGCCGGUCGAAGAGACAGAAAACUGGCAGAAGCCGCGUUGGGAAAGGAAUGACAAUGUUGACGAAGAUGGUGGUAAUCAUGUGGUUGAUGAUUCUAGAUGGAACAAUAUUAAUACUAGAGCUGGUAGAGCGGUGAAUGCUAGAGUGGGUUUUGAGAGGCCGGAGGUGCGAAUGUGGAAUAAGCAAGAAAGUUGGGGUAAAAAGACAUAUAAAGAGGCUAGUGAGUCAAGCUUGCCAAAGAUGGUUGGGGAAGGGGUUUAUGGGGUUGGACCAGUUUUGGCUGCUUUAACUGCUGGGAGAAGAGAAUUCUAUACACUCUAUGUUCAAGAAGGAGUAGAGCUGAGUAAGAACAAUAAGAAAAAGAAGGAUAAGAAGGGUUUUGAAAAGGUGUUGAAGAUAGCAGAGAAGACUGGUUUGAGUUUAAGAGAGAUCUCUAAGCAUGAUCUGAACAUGAUCAGUGAUAACCGUCCACAUCAAGGUCUUGUGUUAGAUUCUUCUCCACUAGAGAUGGUAAACAUAAAGGAGUUGGAUCCUGUUUCUGAUGAACAAGACAAGGGUCUUCUUUGGGUAGCUUUAGAUGAGGUCACUGAUCCUCAGAAUUUGGGAGCCAUCAUCAGAUCUUCAUAUUUCUUUGGAGCAUCAGGGGUGGUAUUGUGUAGGAAGAAUUCAGCUCCAUUGAGUGGUGUUGUGAGCAAAGCUAGUGCUGGUUCUCUUGAGCUGAUGGAGAUUAGAUCUUGUAAGAACAUGAUGCAGUUUUUAACAUCGUCUUCUGAAAAUGGUUGGCGGGUUCUUGGAGGGUCAGUUGCUUCUAGAGCUGUUCCCUUGCGUGAGAUUUCACCCGGAGAACCCACUAUUCUUGUUUUGGGGAGUGAAGGAACAGGUUUGAGGCCUCUGGUUGAGAGGUCAUGCACUCAACUGGUGAAAAUUCCUGGUAAUAUUCCCGUGGAUAUAUCAUCGACAGGAGUUGAGGAUGAUGUCGAAGCUGACAUAGAGAAUAAGUUGUCUGGUGAAGAGUUUCAGUCCUUUAUGGCUGUGGAAAGUCUGAACGUCAGUGUUGCAGCUGGUGUUCUUUUGCAUCAUUUGAUUGGAGACAACUGCAGUAACCAUCAAGUUGUCAUGGAUACAGAUACUUUUGAUCAAACUGAUUAGCGUCUGAAUUCUUGACUUAAAUUGUGUCAUAAGUUCUGAUUGAGGUGGCAGAUGCACAGCCCAGUUACUGAUGAAGAAUGGCAGUGUAGUUGACAAGCUAGUUGGAGCGAAUCCGGAUGAGAUAAGGAAAAGGGUCGGAAGUUUUAUUCAGACCACCGGUGGCGGUGCAUAUAUGCCCUAGUCGUCUUUUUGUGUGUUUCGUGUUGUACAUUUUGCUCAUUUCUUUACACUCCGCAGCACUGCAGCAGUGUGCUGUCUAACAGCUCGAUAUAUGUUAAAAACAAAUACAUGAAUGUAUGGCCAUAUGUGUAUGUAAGAUUAAUUUGUUAAUUAAUAAUUACUACGAGUACACGUGCUUAUGUUUGCCAAGGUAGAAUCUACGGAUCAAUGGGAAUUUCUUGUCAACAAAGCCCAACAACAGAAUUCCCCUAUUGUGGUUCACUUUGGAGCUUCAUGGUGCAUUCCAUCAGUUGUAAUGAAUUCAUUGUUUGAAGAAUUGGCCUCAGAUUACUCUAUGUUAUGUUUAUCAAUGUUGAUGUUGAUGAUGUCAAGGUAGUAUCUUUACCUUUGAAAAAUAUCCGGUUUUUGUUGAUUUGUGUGGAUUGAUUUGUAUAAAAUGAAAUUGUGAAAGUUGAUAGUAUAAUUUACCAUAUGGCAUAUUGGAUGA